UGGGGAAUAUUGCACAAUGGACGGAAGUCUGAUGCAGCAACGCCGCGUGCGGGAUGACGGCCUUCGGGUUGUAAACCGCUUUUUCUCAUGACGAAGUUUUUUGACGGUAGUGGGGGAAGAAGCACCGGCUAACUACGUGCCAGCAGCCACGGUGAUACGUAGGGUGCGAGCGUUGUCCGGAAUUAUUGGGCGUAAAGAGCUUGUAGGCGGUUUGUCGCGUCGAUAGUGCAAACUCAGUGCUUAACGCUGAGCCUGCUGUUGAUACGGGCAGACUAGAGGAAGGUAGGGGAGAAUGGAAUUCCCGGUGGAGCGGUGGAAUGCGCAGAUAUCGGGAGGAACACCGGUGGCGAAGGCGGUUCUCUGGGCCUUUCCUGACGCUGAGAAGCGAAAGCGUGGGGAGCGAACAGG
rnacentral:rRNA from 1 species